rfam:Sandaracinus amylolyticus strain DSM 53668, complete genome.
GGGCGUGUAGCUCAGCUGGGAGAGCGCUAGAAUCGCACUCUAGAGGUCCCCGGUUCGAUCCCGGGCACGUCCA